rnacentral:rRNA from 1 species
UGAUUAAGGCCCUAGGUAACGGCGAGUGGGGCGGCAACAGCUCAAAUUUGAAAGCUAGCCUUCGGGUUCGCAUUGUAAUUUGUAGAGGAUGCUUUGGGUAAAACGCCAGUCUAAGUUCCUUGGAACAGGACGUCAUAGAGGGUGAGAAUCCCGUAUGUGACUGGAAAUGUUAACCUAUGUAAAGCUCCUUCGACGAGUCGAGUUGUUUGGGAAUGCAGCUCUAAAUGGGAGGUAAAUUUCUUCUAAAGCUAAAUAUUGGCGAGAGACCGAUAGCGCACAAGUAGAGUGAUCGAAAGAUGAAAAGCACUUUGGAAAGAGAGUUAAAAAGCACGUGAAAUUGUUGAAAGGGAAGCGCUUGCAAUCAGACUUGUUUAAACUGUUCGGCCGGUCUUCUGACCGGUUUACUCAGUUUGGACAGGCCAGCAUCAGUUUCGGCGGCCGGAUAAAGGCAUUGGGAAUGUGGCCUUCACUUCGGUGGAGGUGUUAUAGCCCAGUGUGUAAUACGGCCAGCCGGGACUGAGGUCCGCGCUUCGGCUAGGAUGUUGGCGUA